rnacentral:rRNA from 1 species
GACAGAGGGGGCGAGCGUUGUCCGGAGUCACUGGGCGUAAAGCGCGCGCAGGCGGCAACCUAAGUGUCGUGUGAAAGCACCCGGCUCAACCGGGGGAGGCCAUGGCAAACUGGGUCGCUCGAGCUGCGGAGAGGCCCCUCGAAUUGCCGGUGUAGCGGUGAAAUGCGUAGAGAUCGGCAGGAAGACCAAGGGGGAAGCCUGGGGGCUGGCCGCAGGCUGACGCUGAGGCGCGACAGCGUGGGGAGCAAACCGG